rnacentral:rRNA from 1 species
AUGAUUGGCCGUAAAGCAUCUGUAGGUGGCUUUUUAAGUCCGCCGUCAAAUCCUAGGGCUCAACCCUGGACAGGCGGUGGAAAAUAGCAAGUUGGAGUACGGUAGGCUAGGGGUUAUAGUCAACGUUGAUUCAUCAUUUUGAACGUCUCUAAUUCAAAACCGAACAUGAAACUUUGGUUUCAUUUGGC